AACGGAUUAUUCUUUAUAGCUUGCUACGAUAGUAAUUAGUGGCAGACGGGUGAGUAAUGCAUAGGAAUCUACCUAGUAGUAUGGGAUAGCCACUAGAAAUGGUGGGUAAUACUGUAUAAUCCCUGCGGGGGAAAGAUUUAUCGCUACAUGAUGAGCCUAUGUUAGAUUAGCUAGUUGGUAGGGUAAAGGCCUACCAAGGCGAUGAUCUAUAGCUGGUCUGAGAGGAUGAUCAGCCACACUGGAACUGAGAUACGGUCCAGACUCCUACGGGAGGCAGCAGUGGGGAAUAUUGGACAAUGGGCGCAAGCCUGAUCCAGCUAUGCCGCGUGAGUGAGGAAGGCCUUAGGGUUGUAAAACUCUUUCAGUAGGGAAGAUAAUGACGGUACCUACAGAAGAAGUCCCGGCAAACUCCGUGCCAGCAGCCGCGGUAAUACGGAGGGGGCAAGCGUUGUUCGGAAUUAUUGGGCGUAAAGGGCAUGUAGGCGGUCCGGUAAGUUAAAGGUGAAAUGCCAGGGCUUAACCCUGGAGCUGCUUUUAAUACUGCC
rnacentral:rRNA from 1 species